AAGAGUAGCUGUUCUUUGACGUCUGUAAUGGUUAGGAAAUCUUUCUUACAUGUCUACUUCUCAUUAUUAAAUUAGAUUCCACCUUGAAGAUGUUUUCUAAAGAAUCAAAAAUGCUACAAAGAAGUAUAUCAUUUUCAAAUAUGGCUUUAUCAUCUUGUUUACUUUUACCAGGAGAUGCCACUGUCAUAACUUCUUCAUGGGAUAAUAAUGUCUAUUUUUAUUCCAUAGCAUUUGGAAGACGCCAGGACACAUUAAUGGGACAUGAUGAUGCUGUUAGUAAGAUCUGUUGGCAUGACAACAGGCUAUAUUCUGCAUCGUGGGACUCUACAGUGAAGGUGUGGUCUGGUGUUCCUGCAGAGAUGCCAGGCACCAAAAGACACCACUUUGACUUGCUGGCCGAGCUGGAACAUGAUGUCAGUGUAGAUACAAUCAGUUUAAAUGCUGCAAGCACACUGUUAGUUUCCGGCACCAAAGAAGGCACAGUGAAUAUUUGGGACCUCACAACGGCCACCUUAAUGCACCAGAUUCCAUGCCAUUCAGGGAUUGUAUGUGACACUGCUUUUAGCCCAGGUAGAUAUUAUCCUUUUUAAAACAGAUAAUACUAGGUAAAUUGGAAUUUUGAAAUAAAUUGUUAAUUUUGAAAUAAUAAAAUUUACAAAGAAAAACACUA
rnacentral:sRNA from 1 species